rnacentral:rRNA from 1 species
CAAUAGCGUAUACUAACGUUGUUGCAGUUAAAAGCUCGUAGUUGGAUUUCUGUUGUGGGAUGCCGGCCGGGUUCUCUGAACUUGUAGCUAGGUUAUCUUGCAGCAUCUUGGCGCAAAUCUCACUGGCAUUCAUUUGUUGGUGUUGACGACCGCCUCGUUUACUUUGAGAAAAUUAGAGUGUUCAAAGCAGGCUAUAGCUUUUGAAUAUAUUAGCAUGGAAUAAUAUUAUAGGACUUUGGUCCCAUUUUGUUGGUUUCUAUGGGCCGAAGUAAUGAUUAAGAGGGACAAUUGGGGGCAUCCGUAUUUCGUUGUCAGAGGUGAAAUUCUUGGAUUUACGAAAGACGAACAACUGCGAAAGCACUUGCCAAGAGUGUUUUCAUUAAUCAAGAACGAAAGUUAGAGGAUCGAAGACGAUCAGAU